rnacentral:misc_RNA from 1 species
AUUUAUUUAUUUGUUUGUUUGUUUCUUAUUAAUUAUGCUUCUUAAAAUCUAUGGGGUUCGAUGAGUAUGAUUGGUUGCAAUGGGAGCUUUCAAUAGUUUAUUUGUUGAUUAUCUGCGUUUCGGGCAGUGUUUAUCUCGUGUUUUUAACGAAUAUUGUUGCGUUUUGGUUAAUUUCUGGCUAUAACUGUUUAUGGAUUAGCUAUUAUAUUUACUGCUUUUCAAUCUGCAUUGUUUGUACGUUUUCAUUAUUUGUUCUUUUAUUACAAUGAAACCUGUAGUUUGAAUUUUUGUGACUUCUAUGUCGUUUUGGCUUUAUAUAUAGGUUUUUGUUUGUUCACGUGUCAUCAUUGCUUAUAAUGCUGAUUUGUUUUGGUAUAUCCUUCCGCGAAUUAUUAUCAAUGAAAUUGUAAUGAAGCUCAAUGUUUUAAUUUUGUAAGGCAAAACCUUAAUAUAUCUUUUUUAUACAAUACAUUAUAAAUUCUGCUGCUUAUUGUAAAUUUUGUUGAAAUGUUUGUUGAGGGUUAUAUAUUUGUGAUCUCUUUCCUAAUCUCAUUACUCACUGGCCAGGUUUUA